rnacentral:lncRNA from 1 species
AGAAGGCAAAUAAUUUCUUCUGUCAAUGGAUAUGAUUCCCCAGAAGAUACUGAUGCAUUUGGGAGUAUAAUUUGGCUGAGGAAGGAGAUAACCUGAAACCACAAACCACCCUAAACACUCUAUUAUUAGCAAAGAGAAAAAAGCCAAAUUGAGUUGGAGAAAAGCCUUGCUGAAUGAUAAAUCGCCAGAGCUGUGUAGCUCAGGAGAUUUCAGCCCAUUUACCCCAGCUGCAUUUUUAUGAAUUCUUCAGGAAAGAACUUUGAA